UUUUUUUUUUAAGAGGGGGUGGGGGUGGUUUUACUUUUUCACAGUGGUUGCUGAGAAAGAAUCUUCUGUUUAUAGGCUCCUAACAAAUAGUGACAGCUGAAAGACAAAUAUGGUGCUGUGUUUGCAGGACGAUGGAAGGGGGCCAGCAACCCGCAGCCUCCAGGCACACACACUCACAAGGAGGCCUUUGAGAGUGCUGCCUGGCAUUGUGUGUCCACAGAUUGCUUGAAAUAAUUUAAAAAGGUGUUUGCCUCAUACUUUCAAUGACAAUUUUUUUCCAGAGAUCCACCAGCAUUGUACAAAUUGAUAGGAUUGUCAAGUUUUUUGUUUUUGUUUUUUUUUGUUUUUGAAUCUCAAGGCUUUUGCUUAACAGUGGCUAAAACGCAGAAAGAUUUGAAUCUAUUUUCACAACAGGAUUCUUUGACCUUUGGGUCAGACGCUGGAGUGUCACAAACCAAGAAGCCAGGGAAUCCCGGAAUGCCUGGAGGAAACACAUGGAACUUCGAUGUGAAAAGGACCUUAAAAGAUUUAGUGUCAAUGUUUUCAACACAACACACAGCACGGAAUCUGAACUUCCCCAAUUCAUCGUCACCAUUCUGAAUUUUCUUUUUUAACCCAGAAGUGUUGGAUUGGUCAUUUGGUUUGGGUUCUAUGUCAGAAACCAUUUGCAGACAAAUGGCGAGGCAGGGCUCAGACAGUCCUCAGAGGGGACUUUUGUGAGAGUUUGAUUCUGCUGGAGAGCUGAGACGCGCAUUUGUCCACAGGAAACUGAAGAAGCAGGGUUGCCGUUGCCUUCAAAAUGAAAUUCAUACGCGGUGUUGGCCAGGCUCCUCUUUGCCUUCUUAUCCUCUAACAGUUGGCCUGGCUGGAAACCUUGUAGUCACCACCGACUCCACCACUUCCUUCAAUCCCUAAAACCAACCAGUGGCCAAGUUUUGCUGAUUUUAUUUUUGUAACGCCUGUCACGUGUACUCCUGCUCCUGCUGCCCUGAUCUGGUCAAUCGCUUCUCCGCACCCGGACUAGGAUCACCUCUGGCUCUUGGCUUCCACCUUGCUCCUUUGGAAUCCCCCAGAACCAUCUUCCGAAAGCUUCCUGCUGCCCAGGUCACCUCCUGCAUGCUCUCCCACUGCGUGUCACUCGAUCGAACCAUUGUUUCCUUCUGCACCAAAGUUUAUUUUCUUUACAGAGCUAUAUCAUUUCCAAUACGUCUUUCUUUUCAUAAUUCUAUCUUGUUUUUAUCAACUAGAGAGUUUAUGAUUUUAAAGUCCUUUUUAGAAGAAUCGUCCUUUUUUUUGAAGCUUCUUGAUCAUUUACUGCUCAUGUUCCCUAUAGAGUGGUUAUCUCUGUUAGCUGCCUGAAAUCCUUUCCGGAACAAGAUGGCGUUUGGUAUCUUGAUUAUUGAUCUGUUUCACGCACAGGGCGGGAAGCUGGGGUGCAUCAGAACUGCUGCUCUCUGAAGCAACUUGAAUACUUAGAGAAAUGUCAUAUAUUACAAAUAAAAAUCCACAAGGUAUUUUAA